rnacentral:rRNA from 1 species
CAGCAGCCGCGGUAAUACCAGCAGCCCAAGUGGUGGUCGCGAUUAUUGGGCCUAAAGCGCUCGUGGCCGGGCCGGUAAGUCCCUUGUGAAAUCGGACGGCCUAACCGUUCGGCGUGCAAGGGAUACUGUCGGUCUUGAGGCCGGGAGACGUCCGAGGUACUCCGGGGGUAGCGGUGAAAUGUUCUGAUCCUCGGGGGACCACCGGUGGCGAAGGCGUUCGACGAGAACGGGCCUGACGGUGAGGGGCGAAGGCUAGGGGAGCAAACGGGAUUAGAUACCCCGGUAGUCCCUGUCUCUUAUA